GACGAACGCUGGCGGCGUGCUUAACACAUGCAAGUCGAACGGUGAAGCGCCUUCCUUUUUGGUGGGUGUGGAUGAGUGGCGAACGGGUGAGUAACACGUGAGUAACCUGCCCCCUUCUUCUGGAUAACCGCAUGAAAGUGUGGCUAAUACGGGAUAUUCUGGGUCUGUCGCAUGAUGGGUCUGGGAAAGAUAUUGUUUCGGUGGGGGAUGGGCUCGCGGCCUAUCAGCUUGUUGGUGGGGUGAUGGCCUACCAAGGCGGUGACGGGUAGCCGGCCUGAGAGGGUGGACGGUCACACUGGGACUGAGACACGGCCCAGACUCCUACGGGAGGCGGCAGUGGGGAAUAUUGCACAAUGGGCGCAAGCCUGAUGCAGCGACGCCGCGUGAGGGAUGGAGGCCUUCGGGUUGUGAACCUCUUUCGCCAGUGAAGCAGGCCUGCCUCGUUUGUGGGUGGGUUGACGGUAGCUGGAUAAGUAGCGCCGGCUAACUACGUG
rnacentral:rRNA from 1 species